rnacentral:rRNA from 1 species
AUUGAACGCUGGCGGCAGGCCUAACACAUGCAAGUCGAGCGAGCGGCGGACGGGUGAGUAAUGUAUGGGGACUGCCCGAUAGAGGGGGAUAACUACUGGAAACGGUGGCUAAUACCGCAUACUCUCGGAUAACCCAUCUGGGAUUAGCUAGUAGGGGGGGUAAAGGCUGCCCUGGGCGACGAUCUCCAGCUGGUCUGAGAGGACUAUGAGCCACACUGGGACUGAGACUUGGCCCAGACUCCUACGGAGGCAGCAGUGGGGAAUAUUGCACAAUGGGCGCAAGCCUGAUGCAGCCAUGCCGCUUGUAUGAAGAGGGCCUUAGGGUUGUAAAGUACUUUCCGCGGGGAGGCGUUACCCGCAGAAGAGGCACCGGCGAACUCCGUGCCAGCAGCCGCGGUAAUUC